GGAAGGGCUGCCGGGCAUGGCGAGGCAGGUGCAUUAAAUGGCCGACCUGCUUAAUCCUACCAGCUUCACACGGAUGUUUCAGUGUGAGUGAUAGGGCAUUUCUGCAGCACAGAGGGAACGUGCCGCGGAGUUGCACCUCAGAGAGGGGCACAGUCGCAUGGGGCAGCGUUCUUGUGGGCUGCAGGGUUAAUCCUGCAGCUCCCACAGCUCCCUCCUUCACAGGAUGGGCAGUCACGGAGCUGUUGAGACAACAUAAGUUGCAGGAGAAUUGCUGAAGUUACUCUGAGUGACACAUUUGAGCACUGGAAUGCUCAAUUAUGAGAGUCCCACUUCCCAUCAGAGCCAAGCAGCAACACAGCACGGCCCGUGUAGACGGACGAAUGCACCAGGACCAGGACGCGGAUGUUGCCUACAUAAGGUCUCGAGUUAGUGCUUUGCACUUUUGCCAUGUGACCUUUGAAAAGUCACCUGCUAACCCACGGCCAGGUUAAGCAGUUAAAAUACCAAGCUGUGCAGGCUCUUGAGCUACUGCAACCUCCGAGCAACACCCAGCGUGGGGGAGCAAAGGGGAGGAGGGCACGCUGAACCACUGGGAGCGCGCCGGUGAAGGUAGGCAGUUGGAUGGCUGAACCCUGGACCCCAACGUGCACGUGAGUGUGGUUAUCGCUUGUGAAGCAGAUGGAGCAUCUCCGGUAGACUGGGAACAAGCCCUGAGCCACGGAGACACAAUACUAUGGGGAGGCACUUGGUGUUCCUGCGAGUGAAAUACAACCUGAGAGCCUCUGUGCUUAGCAAUCUGUUAGGGCUAGUGCAGCCUUCCCAACAAAUAAUCCUUCCAUUUCUGAUAGGCCAGAACCUUCCUUCUGCUGGAGAAUUUGCACUAAGUUAUGUAUUUUUGUUUGCCACUAAAAUAUGUAGAGUUUUGUCUUCUAAACUCGCCGCAAAGAAAGGUCUUUCUGAUCUAAGAGCGAGGGCAGCAUCAGCUCAGAGCAGCCAUACUGUCUGCUAAUGAGAAUUUAAGGAGAAAAGGAAAACGUUAGCACCCCUGACUGCUGAGCAGUUUCCGAAGGCUCUGCAAUCCUCUGCUCCCCACAGGCUGUCGGGGUAUUCCCAGAUCUGCUGCGUGUUCACUGAUUCAUCCUCUCCCUUCCUGAGACACCCAAAUGCUUCCAAAGGGAGGCAAGAAACCAGGUCAGCAGAGUGGAAGUAACCAAGGGAAAAAACACGUAUUCUUGUACUGGGAGAAAAGGGGAAAAGAAAACAGAGAAAAGUGGGAGUAAAAAAUCAAAACAAACAACAAAAUAAUCAAAUGAAAACAUCCAUGGCGUGUAUUUCAAAACCAACAUCUGACAGCUGUAUUACCUUCAGCGUGUAACAUCCCAGCAUCUUCAAUGAUAAAGCAAAGCUAAUGAUAUGGGCUCUGAAAAUCCCACAUCCUAGCUAUUUCGGGUUUACUCACCAGAGCUACUAGAAUAUCACUGUGGUUUGCGUAUGCUUCUCUUACUGGGAGAACAGUCUCAUUUUGAGACACAAGCUAAGAUGCUGGGAAAAAGAUGUCAAAAUACUGAAAGCAAUGGGGUGUCCUACCUUUUGUGGACUUGUCCCUCAGGAGCUUGGAAGGAGGCCACCACCCCAGACCUGUGUCCCCAGGCUGGUGCCCAGGACUUUCAAAGGAGUAUCUGGAGUUCUCCGUAGACCAGCUGGACCAGCAAAAACCUACUGAAGCAGCUCAGGCCAACGGGGAAUGUAAACCGCACUGACCAAGCAAAGUUGGGGAAGUUGCCAGCAAAUGCAGAAAAAAGGAAAGGAAGGAAGAUGUGGAAAGCACGAGAUCUGACCUCUUUUAAGAGUGAUUUGAUGUUUCUUCAAGCAACACCCCGUCCCUAUGAAGAAAUGCCAACAGAGGAGAAGUUUCAAGCUUGCUAUUUUUAUUUAAACUGUUGGAACAGUAUGGACAUAAUAAGUGUUUUGGAACAGACAUCAGUGUCCAAAGCCCAUUAGAACCAUGCUGUAUGCAGACAUCUCCGAAAGAUUGAUGAAGAGUGAAAAAAUGAGGAGCAACGCCGUACACCAAGACCAAAACAUUCAGGAGAUACAGGUCAAGACUGUAAAAACUUUUAUAGAGUGUUGCUGAAGAACUUCUCCCAGGCUAAAAUGAGGAUCAGUUCCAGGUUUCCAAUCAUAUCAACAGUAGGAUCAUGAUUUAUUUCUAAGCUUCUGUCAUCUAUACCAGCAUGUUUCCUAUACAAGGCAGUGGAGCCAAACUUACAGCCCCAAAAGAUAAUACAAAAUAUUUGGAUAUCUGGAUCCAACCCACGCUGGAAAUGUGUGGAGUGUUCUGGGGCUAGAUUUAGCUGCCAGCAAGUCUUGUACAAUUCAGCUGACUUCAGCAGAGCUGCCUGGGAAAGCAAAUUUGGGCUGUUUGUAUUUGUUGUGUGAUGCUGUGGAGUCCCCCAGAUGAAAGGUGCUACAGAGGACACUGCAUGGGUCAUGUUUUACCGUGUGGUUUGCUAACCAGGAGUCUGAUGUUGGAGGAGAGCAGUGGAUCGAGGAGUGGUGCUUCUGCUCUUCCCAGACGUGCCCACAGCCGUGCUGUGGAGAAGACGUGGAAGACAGAACCGAGAAGUGCAGUGGACGCACAGAGGUGGUGCAGCUGCAGUGUCCAGCACACUGCCCAGCCCGGAUUCGGCCGAUGGUGCAUCAGUCCACCCAAGUCCAUCCAGGAACUGGGACCCAGGCUUGAGGCAUUAUCAGAGGUGAUGAAAGCAACUAAAAAUUACAGUUCCACUUCCUGUUUUGCAAUGAGAAAUGAUACCAAAUACAGCCUGGAAAGGAUCCACAACUGUCAUUGGAAGUUUUUGAGAUCUUGCAUCUCCAGAACAUCCCAACUGACUUUAU